rnacentral:lncRNA from 1 species
CGACACCCGCGUUCCAAUUACAGGAGGCUGACGUCGAGGCAACGGGAAAAGAGUCGGAGGGUGGGUUUGCAGGCUGGAGAUGUGAAAAAAGGGCUCGAGAUGGAAAUCCUGCGCGUGCUCAUCGAUGCCAAAAAGCGAGCCGAGCGUGGAAGCCAUUCACAAACAAGGCAUUCAGAACGUUCCUUGGGCACGCACAUGGGAUUUCGCGCGUGGUGUAUAGAACCGAAUCACGAGUGCAACCUCGAGGACGAUGAUGACGAUCAGGA